rnacentral:rRNA from 1 species
GGUUAACGCUGGCGGUAUGUAUAACACAUGCAAGUCGAACGCACUGACGUCGACAGAAGGUGCUUGCACUGGAAGUUGAUUGACGUGAGUGGCGGACGGGUGAGUAACACGUGAGUAACCUGCCCUUAAGCGGGGGAUAACAUUUGGAAACAGAUGCUAAUACCGCAUAAAAGUUGAGAUCACAUGGUCUUAAUUUGAAAGACGGCCUUUGGCUGUCACUUAAGGAUGGACCCGCGGCGUAUUAGCUAGUUGGUGAGAUAAUAGCCCACCAAGGCGAUGAUACGUAGCCGAAUUGAGAGGGUAAUCGGCCACAUUGGGACUGAGACACGGCCCAAACUCCUACGGGAGGCAGCAGUAGGGAAUCUUCCACAAUGGACGAAAGUCUGAUGGAGCAACGCCGCGUGAGUGAAGAAGGUUUUCGGAUCGUAAAACUCUGUUGUUGGAGAAGAACAGGGACUAGAGUAACUGUUAGUCCUUUGACGGUAUCCAACCAGAAAGCCACGGCUAACUACGUGCCAGCAGCCGCCGUAA